GACGAACGCUGGCGGCGUGCUUAACACAUGCAAGUCGAACGGAAAGGCCCUGCUUUUGUGGGGUGCUCGAGUGGCGAACGGGUGAGUAACACGUGAGUAACCUGCCCUUGACUUUGGGAUAACUUCAGGAAACUGGGGCUAAUACCGGAUAGGAGCUCCUGCUGCAUGGUGGGGGUUGGAAAGUUUCGGCGGUUGGGGAUGGACUCGCGGCUUAUCAGCUUGUUGGUGGGGUAGUGGCUUACCAAGGCUUUGACGGGUAGCCGGCCUGAGAGGGUGACCGGCCACAUUGGGACUGAGAUACGGCCCAGACUCCUACGGGAGGCAGCAGUGGGGAAUAUUGCACAAUGGGCGGAAGCCUGAUGCAGCAACGCCGCGUGCGGGAUGACGGCCUUCGGGUUGUAAACCGCUUUCGCCUGUGACGAAGCGUGAGUGACGGUAAUGGGUAAAGAAGCACCGGCUAACUACGUGCCAGCAGCCGCGGUGAUACGUAGGGUGCGAGCGUUGUCCGGAUUUAUUGGGCGUAAAGGGCUCGUAGGUGGUUGAUCGCGUCGGAAGUGUAAUCUUGGGGCUUAACCCUGAGCGUGCUUUCGAUACGGGUUGACUUGAGGAAGGUAGGGGAGAAUGGAAUUCCUGGUGGAGCGGUGGAAUGCGCAGAUAUCAGGAGGAACACCAGUGGCGAAGGCGGUUCUCUGGGCCUUUCCUGACGCUGAGGAGCGAAAGCGUGGGGAGCGAACAGGCUUAGAUACCCUGGUAGUCCACGCUGUAAACGGUGGGUACUAGGUGUGGGGUCCAUUCCACGGGUUCCGUGCCGUAGCUAACGCUUUAAGUACCCCGCCUGGGGAGUACGGCCGCAAGGCUAAAACUCAAAGGAAUUGACGGGGCCCCGCACAAGCGGCGGAGCAUGCGGAUUAAUUCGAUGCAACGCGUAGAACCUUACCUGGGUUUGACAUGGAUCGGGAGUGCUCAGAGAUGGGUGUGCCUCUUUUGGGGUCGGUUCACAGGUGGUGCAUGGCUGUCGUCAGCUCGUGUCGUGAGAUGUUGGGUUAAGUCCCGCAACGAGCGCAACCCUUGUUCACUGUUGCCAGCACGUUAUGGUGGGGACUCAGUGGAGACCGCCGGGGUCAACUCGGAGGAAGGUGGGGAUGACGUCAAGUCAUCAUGCCCCUUAUGUCCAGGGCUUCACGCAUGCUACAAUGGCUGGUACAGAGAGUGGCGAGCCUGUGAGGGUGAGCGAAUCUCGGAAAGCCGGUCUCGGUUCGGAUUGGGGUCUGCAACUCGACCUCAUGAAGUCGGAGUCGCUAGUAAUCGCAGAUCAGCAACGCUGCGGUGAAUACGUUCCCGGGGCU
rnacentral:rRNA from 1 species